GGCUAUUGANUCACGCGGGAAAUCUUACCGGGGUCCGGACACACUGAGGAUUGACAGACAAACACAUUUAUGUGCUUAAAAGAUGCUAGUUCUUUCAUGAUUAUGUGAUAGGUGGUGCAUGGCCGUUCUUAGUUCGUGGAGUGAUCUGUCUGCUUAAUUGCGUUUCAAUAUUUUAUUACGUAUACGUAUGACCAACUUNCCUUUACCGGNANGUUGGGGCCAAGAAGGCUAUCAUUUGAAAGCAACGAACGUGACCGUAUCCUUUUAUUAUGUACGCACGCGUAUAUUUAUUUCAUUAAAGGGACCGCUGUUUCUUUCUUUAAACCAGAGGAAGGUUACGGCAAUAACAGGUCUGUGAUGCCCUUCGAUGUUCCGGGCUGCACACGUGCUACAAUGAUUAUUUCAUUAAGUAUCUAAUCUUUAUGUAUCGUACCUCUGUGUAUGUUCAAAAUACCUACCCUGAGAAUGGGCGGGUAAUCAAUUAGAAGUAAUGAUUUCCUUUUUUUAAUACGCAACUAUGUACCGUAUAUUACAUCCCACAUAUUUU
rnacentral:rRNA from 1 species